UGGGGAAUAUUGGACAACGGGCGCAAGCCUGAUCCAGCCAUGCCGCGUGAGUGAUGAAGGCCCUAGGGUUGUAAAGCUCUUUCACCGGUGAAGAUAAUGACGGUAACCGGAGAAGAAGCCCCGGCUAACUUCGUGCCAGCAGCCGCGGUAAUACGAAGGGGGCUAGCGUUGUUCGGAUUUACUGGGCGUAAAGCGCACGUAGGCGGACUAUUAAGUCAGGGGUGAAAUCCCGGGGCUCAACCCCGGAACUGCCUUUGAUACUGGUAGUCUUGAGUUCGAGAGAGGUGAGUGGAAUUCCGAGUGUAGAGGUGAAAUUCGUAGAUAUUCGGAGGAACACCAGUGGCGAAGGCGGCUCACUGGCUCGAUACUGACGCUGAGGUGCGAAAGCGUGGGGAGCAAACAGG
rnacentral:rRNA from 1 species